rnacentral:tRNA from 1 species
UCCUUCUUAGCUCAGUUGGUAGAGCGCGUCACUAGUAAUUUGAUUAUGUAAUGACGAGGUCAGUCGUUCAAGUCGGCUAGAAGGAA